rnacentral:rRNA from 1 species
UACGUAGGGUGCGAGCGUUUAAUCGGAAUUACUGGGCGUAAAGUGUGCGCAGGCGGCCGAGCAAGUCGAGUGUGAAAGCCCCGAGCUUAACUUGGGAACUGCGCUCGAAACUACUUGGCUAGAGUGUGGCAGAGGGAGGUGGAAUUCCACGUGUAGCGGUGAAAUGCGUAGAGAUGUGGAGGAACACCGGUGGCGAAGGCGGGUCUCUGGGCAGUAACUGACGCUGAGGAGCGAAAGCGUGGGGAGCGAACAGG